rnacentral:rRNA from 1 species
UUGGGAAGAACCAAAUUCUGCUUAGUAAAUUUACUGGCUCGACAUAGUGCAGCUCCAACAAAACGCCAUUGGACAGGAGUAAAGAAUAUCUUCAGAUAUUUACAAGGUACUAAAGAUCUUGGUUUAUUCUAUCGGAAAAAUCAAGACAUGACCCUGAUUGGUUAUUGUGACGCUGGAUAUCUUUCUGAUCCCCAUAAUGCCAGGUCACAAACAGGGUUUGUAUUUUUAUAUGAUGGAACCGCUAUUUCAUGGAAUUCAACAAAACAGACUUUAGUAGCUACCUCCACUAAUCACUCUGAAAUAAUUGCAUUAUUCGAAGCCUCACGAGAAUGUGUAUGGCUCCGCAGAGUAAUAAAUCAUAUUCAGACAUCAUGUGGUAUUGGUUCAUUACAAUCACCAACCAUUAUCUAUGAAGAUAAUGCUGCAUGUGUUGCUCAAAUGCAUAUGGGAUAUAUUAAAAGUAAUAUCACAAAACAUAUCUCUCCAAAACUAUUUUUUCCUCAUGAAUUACAGAAAGAUGGAGAGAUUGAUAUUUUG